rnacentral:lncRNA from 1 species
AUCAGCUUGGCCUGCCAUUGUCUGGAGGUGACAGGACGUGGCCUCUCUAACCGAUGGGUUUACAGGAGUAUCCCAGCCAGUCUCUGCCCUGUGACUGUCCCUCCGAGACGACAGUGGAUCAAGGACUCCUGUCCUUGUCUCUCCAGGUAACCUGUUCCUCCAGGCUGUGCACUGGAAUGACAUCAUUUCUAUCUCAUCCCUAGGUCCAAUACUAGAUUACUCUGUGGGUUUUCAGUUAUAAUACUGAAAAGUAUAAUCACUUCACAGUUCUCUACUUCCUAGGAUAAAUUGGGGUUCACUUCAAAGUUGUUUAUAAAUGAUUCAUACUCUACUUUUG